rnacentral:rRNA from 1 species
AGGGCACCACCAGGAGUGGAGCCUGCGGCUUAAUUUGACUCAACACGGGAAAACUCACCCGGCCCGGACACCGUAAGGAUUGACAGACUGAGAGCUCUUUCUUAAUUCGGUGGGUGGUGGUGCAUGGCCGUUCUUAGUUGGUGGAGCGAUUUGUCUGGUUAAUUCCGAUAACGAACGAGACUCUGGCCUAUUAAAUAGUCGGUAUAUCCAGAAAAGUUUACCGUACUUCUUAGAGGGACAAACGGCGUCUAGCCGCGUGAAAUAGAGCAAUAACAGGUCUGUGAUGCCCUUAGAUGUCCGGGGCUGCACGCGCGCUACACUGAAAGGAUCAGUAUGCGCUUUAACCUAGUCCGGAAGGAUCGGGUAACCCGAUGAAAUUCUUUCGUGCUUGGGAUAGGGAAUUGCAAUUAUUUCCCUUAAACGAGGAAUUCCCAGUAAAUGCGGGUCAUAAGCUCGCGUUGAUUACGUCCCUGCCCUUUGUACACACCGCCCGUCGCUACUACCGAUUGGAUGACUUAG